GCAUGGAUAGCUCAGUGGCAGAGUGGUGGGGCGAUGAUCCAUGCGGCCCCAGUUCGAGCCCUGGUCCAUACA